rnacentral:tmRNA from 1 species
CGGCUUGCAACGGAACGGAUCGGGACUUAUAUCUUGGACGUUCCCUCGGGAACUAUGGACAUAAACGCGCUCGUAAUAAGCGGAUCGGACCCGGGGGCGGUACCCGGCGGCUCCACCAAAACCCUUCAUUUGGGGGUCAUGGGGCCGAAACAGGAUCGACGAACGUCUAAAGGGGUUAGCUUUGUCUCGGCUGUCUGCCACCGUUAUCGGCGAAACUUGUACAAUUGCAAAUGACAAUCGUGCUCCGGUUGCAGUUGCUGCGUAAGCAGUAACAAGACCGAAACUUAAGUCCUGAUGCCUAGCAGCGUCAGGCGGGGUUCGCAGGCACCUGGCAACAGAAGCCUGCACU